AUUGAACGCUGGCGGCAGGCCUAACACAUGCAAGUCGAGCGGAAACGAGUUAACUGACCCUUCGGGUGACGUUAACGGCGUCGAGCGGCGGACGGGUGAGUAAUGCCUGGGAAAUUGCCCUGAUGUGGGGGAUAACCAUUGGAAACGAUGGCUAAUACCGCAUAAUGCCUUCGGGCCAAAGAGGGGGACCUUCGGGCCUCUCGCGUCAGGAUAUGCCCAGGUGGGAUUAGCUAGUUGGUGAGGUAAUGGCUCACCAAGGCGACGAUCCCUAGCUGGUCUGAGAGGAUGAUCAGCCACACUGGAACUGAGACACGGUCCAGACUCCUACGGGAGGCAGCAGUGGGGAAUAUUGCACAAUGGGCGCAAGCCUGAUGCAGCCAUGCCGCGUGUGUGAAGAAGGCCUUCGGGUUGUAAAGCACUUUCAGCAGUGAGGAAGGCGGGUACGUUAAUAGCGUGCUCGUUUGACGUUAGCUGCAGAAGAAGCACCGGCUAACUCCGUGCCAGCAGCCGCGGUAAUACGGAGGGUGCGAGCGUUAAUCGGAAUUACUGGGCGUAAAGCGCAUGCAGGUGGUUCGUUAAGUCAGAUGUGAAAGCCCGGGGCUCAACCUCGGAACUGCAUUUGAAACUGG
rnacentral:rRNA from 1 species